AUUGAACGCUGGCGGCAGGCCUAACACAUGCAAGUCGAACGAGUGGCGGACGGGUGAGUAAUGUAUGGGAAACUGCCUGAUGGAGGGGGAUAACUACUGGAAACGGUAGCUAAUACCGCAUACCAUCGGAUGUUCCCAGAAGGGAUUAGCUAGUAGGUGGGGUAAAGGCUCACCUAGGCGACGAUCCCUAGCUGGUCGGAGAGGAUGAACAGCCACACUGCAACCGUGACACGGUCCAGACUCCUACGGGAGGCAGCAGUGGGUAAUAUUGCACAAUGGGCGCAAGCCUGAUGCCGCCAUUCCGCGUGUAUGAAGAAGGCCUUCGGGUUGUAAAGUACUUUCAGCGGGGAGGCGGUACCCGCAGAAGAAGCACCGGCUAACUCCGUGCCAGCAGCCGCGGUAAUAC
rnacentral:rRNA from 1 species